rnacentral:rRNA from 1 species
GUGUCAGCCGCCGCGGUAAUACGUAGGGUGCGAGCGUUGUCCGGAAUUAUUGGGCGUAAAGAGCUCGUAGGCGGUGUGUCACGUCGGCCGUGAAAACCUGGGGCUUAACUCUGGGCGUGCGGUCGAUACGGGCAUCACUAGAGUUCGGCAGGGGAGACUGGAAUUCCUGGUGUAGCGGUGAAAUGCGCAGAUAUCAGGAGGAACACCGGUGGCGAAGGCGGGUCUCUGGGCCGAUACUGACGCUGAGGAGCGAAAGCAUGGGUAGCGAACAGGAUUAGAUACCCUGGUAGUCCAUGCCGUAAACGUUGGGCGCUAGGUGUGGGGUCCAUUCCACGGGUUCCGUGCCGCAGCUAACGCAUUAAGCGCCCCGCCUGGGGAGUACGGCCGCAAGGCUAAA